AGGGGCGUGGUUUCGUGCCUGGACGAUUGUCCUGCCCGGCUCUGCUGGUCCACCCACCUCCAGCUUUCCCUCUUUCCCUCCUUCCGGCUUCUCGAGCUCCGUAACUAAAGGGAGUCGUUACUGCUCCCCUAAUGCGCACUGGACGCCAAUGUAGGGAUCCGGAAGGUGACCCCUGUGAAAGGAUCUUGAAAGGGUCUUAAAGGAGUCUCAACUCAGAGGUUGAGAACUGUCUUAGACCUUUGGCUCUGUGGAACUAAAGCAAAACCUCUAUGGAGAGACAGGUGGUUCCUACUCUCCUGAACCAGGGCAGAGGCUGUCUUGUGCCAAUGAAAGGAAAUCUGAGCAGACAACUCCCUGGAGGCGGGAACUGGCCAGAGGCCCCAGGAAGCAGGCCCAGGACUCCUGACCUGGCUCUGCUGGGUGAUACCAGUUGGUGACUGAGAACCCUGAUCCCCAGCAAAAAGAAACACUCGUUCAAGGCAGAAAACAUGGAGGCCCCAGAAGAACACAAAGGAGAGAAUAAAUGUGGAGUGAUAGCAACUACUGUCACACUCAAACCUAACACCACCUGUACAUUUGUUCUGUGCACAAGUUAUUUAUUGGCAUUCAUAAAACUGAUCUGCCUUGAAAAGCCUCCUCCUACAGGUGUGAAACCCCGGCAAGCUAGGCAAGCUAUGGUUGAGCCACACCCACCUUCUGACAGCAUCAGAUUCACUAUGCAACAGAGAAUGACCUUGAACUUCCUGAUCCUUCUGCCUCCUCUUUGCACUUGCUGGGAUUACUGACAUUCACCACCAUGACCAGUUUCUGUGGUGCCAGGGAUCAAAGCCAAAGCCCAUGCAUGCUUGUAGGCAAGCACUCUACCAACUAGCCACAACCCCAGCUCCUGAUCUCCUAACAUUUUGGUAGGGCAAGAUUUGGAAAACCUACUCCUAUGUAUACAUGGAAUAUUAAAGUGUGUCAGCAAAAACAGGGGACUACUCUUCCCAAAUCGGCUGUGUUCACUUGGUCCAACAAAGCAUUUGGGGACCUCCCUACUGUCCUUUCACUUAGAGAAAACAAGCAAAACCAAACAAAAUAUUUUAGAAUUCCCGGAAACAUUACAGCCCAGCACACCGUUAUAAUAAAUGUACUGCUGCCUACCAUGGGGAUGGAACAGAGGCUGAACUAAACUGCCAAUGAAACAAAACCAAGGGUAAUCUAUUUUUGGUUGUCAGCCUAGCCUUUUAGCGGAUGAGCCAUCGCUCCAGCCCACCAAUGGCAAUUUACGAUGGAAAAGGAUAAUGGCAGCUGAUGGAAUGCAUGGGAAGAUCACUUUGGUGAAAUCCUAACUGGAGAUCCGUCCCCCAAGUACAAUACAGUUCACCAUACAAGUGCUCAGUGGCCACGAACAGAGUGAGCAGCGCCUUUGACAAACUACUGAGUUUAAUGCUGCAGCAAAUUCUAAUUGUUGGCAUGUUUUGACUUCUAAAACCAAACGUCUGAAGCACUUUAACAAGCUCCCUCCUCAUGUUUAAAAGGACAGACUCAGUGGGAAGAUGCUUGUGUGUAGCAACCUGGAGUUCAGUUGUGUCUGAAGAACCAGAGAAAGGGCUGGUAAUUUUGUUUCUUCAAUACCUGGCCCAAGCUGGCCAGGUACUAUGUGUAGACCAGACUGGCAAUCUUCCUGCCUCAGCCUCCUGAGUAGUGCUGGCGAAUUUAGAUCAUUUCGAGGUCUAUCACUGAUCUACAGCUAGUGAGGACAGGUAUCUACAGGUGUACCUGUCCACACCCCCUAGGGCAUGGACAGGGUGAUGGGAGAGAAGUUUAAGAGUGGGGGGGACACACGUGGGAAGCCCUCUUUUUCCCUGCUGCUUCGGCUUGCUCAGCUUUGCUUCGUUUCCUGCCAGGUGGCUAGGGAGCUCUGCAAGUAAGGCAUUUUCCCUAAUAAAUGUAUCCUAACCAUUA